CUUUUGGUUUUUUUCAAAACCACCACUAUUGUGCUCAUAGUUUUC
rfam:Hordeum vulgare subsp. vulgare, WGS project CAJW01000000 data, contig: morex_contig_54832